rnacentral:rRNA from 2 species
GGAAAAGAAACUAACAAGGAUUCCCCCAGUAACGGCGAGUGAAGCGGGAAGAGCUCAAGCUUAAAAUCUCCAUACUUGUAUGGCGAAUUGUAGUCUAUUGAGGCUGUUGUCAGCAUCGCGAUUGGGGACAAGUCCCUUGGAAAAGGGCAGCAUAGAGGGUGAUACUCCCGUCUCUGCUCCAAUCUGCGGUGUGUACGAUACGCUUUCUUUGAGUCGAGUUGUUUGGGAAUACAGCUCAAAGUAGGUGGUAAAUUCCAUCUAAAGCUAAAUAUUGGUGCGAGACCGAUAGCGAACAAGUACCGUGAGGGAAAGAUNAAAAGAACUUUGAAAAGAGAGUUAAAGAGUACCUGAAACUGUUGAAAGGGAACCGUAUCGUUUCCAGUGUUGUAUCCUAUGCAUAUUUCAUUCGCGGAGUAAUUUGCGGGUGCCCUGUGCAUGGGUGUGACGUCAGGGUCAGUUUGUAUGCUGCGGGAGAUGGUCAGUGAGGAGGUGCGUCACUUCGGUGAAAGUUAUAUCUCGCUGUCUAGUAGCCGUGGUUGAGACUGAGGUGCCUACAACAUGCCUUAAGGUUCCGUGUUGUCUCGUGUUGGUGACUGCUUUGAUAGCUUGCUAUGUCUGUGGUUUAUCAGUGCGAUUGAUGAUGCGGAUAACUUUUGCUGUUCGGGACUCUGGCGAAAUGGAGC